rnacentral:misc_RNA from 1 species
GGUGAACAUAGUCUUGCUAUUUGGCAGCCAAAUGAAGGAGAUCCCAGAGACCACUUUCAUGACUCAAAAUUCCAUAGAAAGGGCACGAAAGAGCAUCAAGCAAAACAAAGAUUCUGAGUUUGGCAAGUUAAGGGUAUAAAAGAACUAGAACAAGAGAUUGCUAAUGAUGCUAAUGUUGCAGCAAAGACAUAAUUUGAGAUUGUUAAAACAAGGCAUGUUUUUGCAGUUUCAGAACCAGAUAUGUUAAUGAUGAAUUGGAAACAUUAAAAAAGUCGUUGGAUGCUUUACCAUCUAUUGGAGUAGGGAUACUCACCCGAAGAUAUGAGGACGGCGGUAAGAGGAUUUGAAAUGAGAACGGGGAGAGAGAAUGAGUUGUAUUCAAGAAAAUUAAGGGAGUUGGGUUACAUACUGAGC